GCCAACAGGAGCUGGUAAUCAGGAUGGCAGUGAGGCAGGCACUUGCUUGCAGAAGAACAGGCCUAGUUUUUUAAGAAGCCACAAAAGUGUCUUUGGAUGAUUAGGAUCUAAGGGGCCAACAGCUUUGCAAUAACAGCAUAAAUAUUGUGGGCUGGAUGGACAGGCACCAAAUGGGGACAUUCCAUCCUGCUGUGUGAUGAGAAAGCUGCCACUUCUGAGGCCUUCCAAAACAAAUCAACACUCCAUAUGCCAGAAGGAAAAGCCCAGGAAAGACCUAUUCCAACUGGAGAUGGUGAAUGUCAUUUCUUCAAGAAGCUGAGAUCCAGCUGGUACUGCCAGGUGGAGAGUGAGUUGGGAAUAUGAAGGGAGAAUGAAACAAAACUGCUCCGCUCAGGGAACUUGGAAAGGAAAUUGAAAAGGCAAGGCACAGGCUGGAAGAAAAUAUUUGAAAAAGAUUUAUGUGAACUUCUUUCUGGAUUAUACAAAAUAUUUUUAGAUAUUCUUACAACUCUAAAAUAAGAUAACUCCUUAAAAAUGUGAAUUCUACCAAAGGAGAGAUGAAGAUGACGAAUAUAUUCAAAGAUGCUGAAAAUCACUUAUUUAUUAUUAGGAAGUUACAAGCUAAAGCAUAAUGAGAUACCACUACAACCUACUAAACUGACUAAAAUUAAUCAGACUAACCAGGUGUUGGCAAGAAACAGGG
rnacentral:antisense_RNA from 1 species